rnacentral:rRNA from 1 species
AUGCAUGCUGCUGCUGCUGCUGGCCGUCCCAGUUGGUGCGUUGCUGCUGCUGGUCGAGUCGUGCUGGCUGAAGUACGAGCAGCAGCAGCAGCCGCCGCCCCCGCCGGCCGAUGUCACGCUCCUGGUCGUCCUGAUCGUGCUCCAGUGGCUGAUCGCGUUUGUCGCCGUCGGAGCGGCGUCCUCCGCGCUAAUCGUGGACCUCGUCGCCACGCCCGUGUGCGCGUCGUACCAGCUCGCCGCCGACGGGACGGCAUGUGCCGGCGGGGCUCUCGCUGCGGCGUCGGCGGUCGGGCUGCUCUGGGUCCUCUGGUCCCGGUUGCACCAUGCCCAGGCGCCUCCGCAGGCUCAAGCCUAACUCCUUCCUUUGUCGCCGACGCCGACGGUCUCUUCUUGCUUCAUUUCCCCCAUCUUCUGUUUCGUUAUGCAUCUUUGUUCAAGACUGAGAACGGCAUGGCCACCCGGUCUUGA